UACGAAGGGGAGCUAGCGUUGUUCGGAUUUACUGGGCGUAAAGCGCACGUAGGCGGAUCGUUAAGUCGGGGGUGAAAUCCUGGAGCUCAACUCCAGAACUGCCUUCGAUACUGGCGAUCUUGAGUCCGGAAGAGGUGAGUGGAACUCCUAGCGUAGAGGUGGAAUUCGUAGAUAUUCGGAAGAACACCAGUGGCGAAGGCGACUCGCUGGACAAGUAUUGACGCUGAGGUGACGAAAGCGUGGGGAGCAAACAGG
rnacentral:rRNA from 1 species